UCAUUACUCUGCAGAGGCAGAUGUUACCUCUCUUGUUGUAUUAUUCUUUAUUAUUGUGGUAAUUUCUGCCUCACAUGUAUCUUGUGCUCUUCAUUGGUUAAAUGUUGCUACAGUUUUCGGUGCUCUUCCUGCUGGAGCAGGGAUACCCAGUAGGAAAUGACGAAAUGUCUUUGAGGGCUCACUUAUAAUCCGCCCCCAUAGAGAUGCCAAUAAUUCCAGGAUGUUGUGCAGGAUGCAAAAUUCAUGAACAGUAGGAACCCUAAAUAGCACAAGCAUCCACCGUGCCCCUGUGCAGUUGUGCGACAACAUCUAUACUGAGGCUCGCUUUGUGCAGUUAUUGAACAGUAGGAACCCUAAAUAGCACACUGAUUACAUAGUAAAGAAGCCGAAAAUAGAUUUACUUUUGUGAUGUUUCAAACAAGAAUCUUGAGCUGGAGUGAAUGGUUGCUGUUAGAUUUGAUCCGCUCUGUUGUCCAGGCAGGCAGGCAGCUGUGGCUCUAGCUGGGGACAGUGUAUCUGUAUCUUUAUCGUCCUCCUCCUGUAGCAGCUCCUUAUUAGCAUUAGAAAAAGCUAAGCCGAUUGAACAGUUGAUGGGAAUUGGAUAGUGCGCAGGGAUUGAUUUCGCUACGCCGUGAGAAUGUUGGGUCCAUGGACAUUGUGAGACGACAUUGCUGAGACAUGAUAAUGUAUGCAUGCAUGCGCAGGGUACAGCAAGGUAUGGUGUGGUGACCAUUGCUUUGAAUUUCUGCAGGUUGAUGUAGAGUUUAUCUUCCAGAGUCCAGAUUUGAGUUCGACCACACACAGUUGCAGUCACGGAAUGGGCAUGAAGUGAACGUUUUUGCAUCCGCUUCACAUUGAUUAGAUUCUUUCGUAGAAAUGGUACUGGGAUGGGCGGCAGGGGAAAGCAUCGAACAUGUAAGAAAUGGCUCUUCAAUUCUGCUACUAUUUCGGUAAUUCACAGUCCUUGUGUCUCCGUAUAUGAAUGGUAUUUUGUGUUGUAGAGUAUAUAAUAUUGAAUCGCAUCGAGCGCAGGAACGUAUGGGGAAAAGGAGGAAGAAUGGGCCAGAAAACAGGGAAGGACCGAGCAAGAAUUUUCUCAGCCUACAAAACUUGAGAAUGAGAAGGAAAAAAUGAAAAGAAAAAGGUUAAUGUAAUUAGGAAACCUUCACAUUUCUCUUGAGACCUGCCCUUACACUUCCUGUUGCCUUCAUUCAGAAACCUGUUGCUCGUUGCAGCCAUGGUCUUCUUCGAAGACCCACCCAUCUUAACUCUCUCUGUGAUAUAUCCUAUGUAUUACUCGGCAAUGUCACCGUUUCCUGUCCCAGAUCUCCUCCAGCUCCCUGGCCAGGUCUUUCUGACGUCCGACAACAAUGUGACAUUAAUGAGAGCAU